rnacentral:rRNA from 1 species
CGUUCCCGGGCCUUGUACACACCGCCCGUCACACCACGAAAGUUGGCAAUACCCGAAGCCGGUGGCCUAACCCGCAAGGGAGGGAGCCGUCGAAGGUAGGGUCGAUGAUUGGGGUG